rnacentral:rRNA from 1 species
GAUGAACGCUGGCGGCGUGCCUAACACAUGCCAGUCGAGCGAACAGACGAGGAGCUUGCUCCUCUGACGUUAGCGGCGGACGGGUGAGUAACACGUGGAUAACCUACCUAUAAGACUGGGAUAACUUCGGGAAACCGGAGCUAAUACCGGAUAAUAUAUUGAACCGCAUGGUUCAAUAGUGAAAGACGGUUUUGCUGUCACUUAUAGAUGGAUCCGCGCCGCAUUAGCUAGUUGGUAAGGUAACGGCUUACCAAGGCGACGAUGGGUAGCCGACCUGAACGGGUGAUUGGCCACACGGGAAGUGAGACACGGCCCAGACUCCUGGGGGAGGCAGCAGUAGGGAAUCCUACGGGAGGGGCGAGAGCCUGACGGAGCAACGCCGCGUGAGGGAUGAAGGUCUUCGGAUCGGAAAACUCUGUAAUUAGGGAAGAACAAAUGUGUAAGUAACUAGGCACGUCUUGACGGUACCGAAUCAGAAAGCCACGGCUAACUACGUG